GCCUGCGUGGCUCAGCUGGUUAAGCAUCUGACUUCAGCUCAGGUCAUGAUCUCACAGUUCGUGGGUUCGAGCCCCAUGUCGGGCU
rnacentral:tRNA from 1 species